rnacentral:lncRNA from 1 species
GUCUGAAUAAGUUUAGCUAAUUACAAAUCAGAGCUGGACACUAAAAGAGGAAGGGUCUUUGUAUGGUACCACUGCAUGGAAAUUAAAUAGAAAAGGGCAAGCUCUGAGGCUGAAUAACCUGCAUGCAGAGUCACUGUGGGAAUACUGCUCCUACCAAGAAAGGACAGGAAAGGAAAGUCUUGAAGAUACAUCCAGGAUUUUGACAGUUGUAUCAUGUCAAAUGCAAAUGGCACUGGAAGAUCUGCAGCCCCAUUUGAGCACCAUUCUCAGGAGAAGCAAGUGAAGAAAUUAAGUGCAAGGACUGAUGGAAAUUACAUUCUUCAGGCGAGUUCCUCUGGCGAACUUACAAGAGACUGCAAUCUACCUUAAAUUCCUGUUGGAUCACCAGAUACUGAGCUCAAAAGAUGCUCCUCAGAGCUCUGGAGAAGAUCUGAUGAAAGAUUGGACAUUUGUCCUGCUGACUGAUAAACUCACUGGAUUGUUCCCGAACCUGUCUCAUGGAAGAGGCCACAGUGUUAUAUGGUGGAUUUCUGAAGCACAGAAAUAAUUCAGUGUGCAGGAACCAGAUUCACAAAUUAAAUCUUUCAC